rnacentral:rRNA from 1 species
UCAAUAUGGGGGAUCACUUAGUCCUUAGAGCGAUGAAAAACAUAAUAAUUUGUGGAAAUUGAUGUGAGUUGUGAAAUUUUGUGAGCAUUGUGUUUUUGAAUGAAAAUUUCAGCGUGGAUGCGUCGUGUCUUCGCUACAUUUGAUUCAGUAUAUAGACUGUAGAAUACGUAGUUACUAUUGCUG